AUUGAACGCUGGCGGCAUGCUUUACACAUGCAAGUCGAACGGUAACAGGCCGCAAGGUGCUGACGAGUGGCGAACGGGUGAGUAAUGCAUCGGAACGUGCCCAGUCGUGGGGGAUAACGCAGCGAAAGCUGCGCUAAUACCGCAUACGAUCUAUGGAUGAAAGCGGGGGACCGUAAGGCCUCGCGCGAUUGGAGCGGCCGAUGUCAGAUUAGGUAGUUGGUGGGGUAAAGGCUCACCAAGCCAACGAUCUGUAGCUGGUCUGAGAGGACGACCAGCCAAACUGGGACUGGGACACGGCCCAGACUCCUACGGGAGGCAGCAGUGGGGAAUUUUGGAAAAUGGGCGCAAGCCUGAUCCAGCAAUGCCGCGUGCAGGAAGAAGGCCUUCGGGUUGUAAAGCACUUUCGGAUAGGAAGAGUGUAGCACGGGCGAAUACCCUGUGUUAUUGACGUUACUAUCAUAAGAAGCACCGGCUAACUCUGUGCCAGCCGCCGCAGUAACAC
rnacentral:rRNA from 1 species